rnacentral:misc_RNA from 1 species
GAUGAAGAACGAAGCGAAAUGCGAUAAGUAAUGUGAAUUGCAGAGUUCAGUGAAUCAUCGAAUCUUUGAACGCACAUUGCGCCCGCUAGUAUUCUGGCGGGCAUGCCUGUCCGAGCGUCAUUUCAACCCUCAACCCCCCGGGCUUGGUGUUGGGGAUCGGCGAGCCUCCGCGCCCGCCGUCCCCUAAAUCUAGUGGCGGUCUCGCUGUAGCUUCCUCUGCGUAGUAGCACACCUCGCACUGGGAAACAGCGCGGCCACGCCGUUAAACCCCCAACUUCUGAACGUUUGACCUCGGAUCAGGUAGGAAUACCCGCUGAACUUAAGCAUAUCAAUAAGCGGAGGA